rnacentral:tRNA from 2 species
GCCGGGGUGGCAGAAUCUGGCAAUGCGCCGGCCUUGAGAGCCGGUGGCCGUCAUGGCCUUCUGGGUUCGAAUCCCAGCCCCGGCG